AACGAACGCUGGCGGCAGGCUUAACACAUGCAAGUCGAGCGCCCCGCAAGGGGAGCGGCAGACGGGUGAGUAACGCGUGGGAAUCUACCCAUCUCUACGGAGUAACGCAUGGAAACGUGUGCUAAUACCGUAUACGUCCUUCGGGAGAAAGAUUUAUCGGAGAUGGAUGAGCCCGCGUUGGAUUAGCUAGUUGGUGGGGUAAAGGCCUACCAAGGCGACGAUCCAUAGCUGGUCUGAGAGGAUGAUCAGCCACACUGGGACUGAGACACGGCCCAGACUCCUACGGGAGGCAGCAGUGGGGAAUAUUGGACGAUGGGCGCAAGCCUGAUCCAGCCAUGCCGCGUGAGUGAUGAAGGCCCUAGGGUUGUAAAGCUCUUUCACCGGUGAAGAUAAUGACGGUAACCGGAGAAGAAGCCCCGGCUAACUUCGUGCCAGCCGCCGCCGUAAGAC
rnacentral:rRNA from 1 species